rnacentral:rRNA from 1 species
GAUGAACGCUGGCGGCGUGCCUAAUACAUGCAAGUCGAGCGAACAGACGAGGAGCUUGCUCCUCUGACGUUAGCGGCGGACGGGUGAGUAACACGUGGAUAACCUACCUAUAAGACUGGGAUAACUUCGGGAAACCGGAACUAAUACCGGAUAAUAUAUUGAACCGCAUGGUUCAAUAGUGAAAGACGGUUUUGCUGUCACUUAUAGAUGGAUCCGCGCCGCAUUAGCUAGUUGGUAAGGUAACGGCUUACCAAGGCAACGAUGCGUAGCCGACCUGAGAGGGUGAUCGGCCACACUGGAACUGAGACACGGUCCAGACUCCUACGGGAGGCAGCAGUAGGGAAUCUUCCGCAAUGGGCGAAAGCCUGACGGAGCAACGCCGCGUGAGUGAUGAAGGUCUUCGGAUCGUAAAACUCUGUUAUUAGGGAAGAACAAAUGUGUAAGUAACUAUGCAUGUCUUGACGGUACCUAAUCAGAAAGCCACGGCUAACUACGUG